UACUCAUUCUGAUCCAACGAAACUAAACCAGUGGGUUUGAAAUUGCCGUUCAUGUCGGGUUAGCAUUUGUCCAUAUCUGUAGCAAUAACCUUAUUGGUUGUGUUCAGUUCUUAGUGCUUAUAGUUCAAAGCAACUGCUAUGUUUUGUGGCUGUUGCAAGGUGCUUCUUGGCUGGAAGAUGGUGGUCAGGCUAGCUGCCAAUUAAAUUUGCUGGAAGAUAUCUCAUUAAUUGCUUCAAAAUUUCUAGCACGUUUCUCAUGUGUUACAUUAGGAUUAUAUGGUACUGCACGCUAUUUUUUCAUGGUGUUUUACGGCUAGGAUUGAUGCUACCCCCUGGAGAAAUAUAGAUCGACAUGCAUAAGGUUUUCCACAUCAUUUAGAUAUGUUCAAAAACAAAAGAUUAUUGUAGAAGUAACACCAUGAGCCAACAGAGAGGAUGUGAAUAAUCUUGAACUACAAGUGUGCAAGUGGCUGCACACACCAUUAUGGCGAGGUGCUGGCAAGAGGUGGAGAUGAGCAUGAAGCUAUUGCUGCUCAAACCAUGUGAAAGGAGCAAAGAUCAACGCCAAAACAUGUAUGUUGUGAAUAAUUUAUCAUGUUCCAAUCUCCAUGCCCUCCUCCUCCCACGCCAAGUUUCCUCCCUUCAUGCAUCCUCUCCCAACCAUGGCGCUUUUGCCAUGGACCUGGUCGUUGCCGCCAUCGUCCUGGUGCAGGGGAGGAGUGUUGGCUGCCAGAGGCCAUCCAAGGCGCCAUCGCCGCCAUCCUUCGGGUCCUCUCGCCGCUUCCUCUGCCUUGCUAGAUGAGUUGUUGCUUGGUCCUCUCUCUCAUGGAAGUGCUGAUGCUCCUUUUGUCUCUAAUUUAUCACAAGCCGCUCUCCUUUUUUAUGUGUAUGUGUGCGUUCUGAUGUAGAUAUAUUGUUGCGGGCAAACUGUUCGAUGAUAUGCUUAUGAGGCAUGGAAACGUUCAUCCUUAUGGAUCUAUGGUUACAUCAGCAAGGAAGAUAUGCAUAGCUUUUCCUAUAAUGAAAAAUGGCCAUCGGAAACGUUCCAUGCCGCGCACAGGACCAGUAACCUCCACACCUAUCAAUUGGUUCCCUCUAGCCCCUGGUGUUUUUUAUACUACAGAGCAUGAAUAUAUUUUAUCAUUGUUUUGUAGUACGUCGUAUUAUCAGUAAAAUAGUUUGUUUGAUGGCUUAUAUAUGCACUUCUUCUUUUCAGGUUCAAUUUAGAGCCAUUGAUCUAUCAUAAAGCAUGAUGAUAAGUGUACUGCGGCAUGCAGGUUACUGUUGUUUGGACCAUGCAUCACAUAUUGUGGACUCUGAUCUUGCUGCCAAUUGAUGGACAUGAGUUUGAGGAAAACUACCAGCUUCCAUGAUUCAAUGCGUGUUGGACGCCUAUAUAUAGUGCAGAUUUCUGCUUAAUUAAUUAUUCUCUUGCACAUUCUUGGUUGUUGAGAUUCUAAAAAAUUUCAUCCUUGAUGCGAUGAUGAAGCCCAACCAUAAGUACGAGACCUACUCACAUGGCCGAGUAGGUAAAAUAGUGGCCACCAUCACAUUCUACCCAUCAAUUCACCGCCCUUGUCCUGCCUAUGGGAGUCUUAGCUGUGUAGAAGUCGUAUGGACAGUUUUGAGGAUGCAAAUAAGAUAAUAAAGGAUAAUCCAUGCUAAAUUAUUAUAAAUUUUAGAUUCCAUACACAUUCUCUCUUCUCUGUUAAAGCACCUCUCAUGGUCUCAUAGCUCAAAUGUGAUAUCAACAAACCUAUCACUUAGAUUAUUGUGCUAUCUUAUUCUCGAGCGAGCUUUUGUUGAUUACA